AGCUCCAAUAGCGUAUAUUAAAGUUGUUGCAGUUAAAAAGCUCGUAGUUGGAUUUCUGACAAGAGUGAUCGGUCCGGGCCUUUGGUCCGUGUACUUGGUUUACUCUAGUCAUCCUUAUGGAGAACGUGCGUGGCAUUCGGUUGUCGCGUACGGGACCCAUAUCAUUUACUGUGAAAAAAUUAGAGUGUUCAAAGCAGGCAAUCGCUGUGAAUACAUUAGCAUGGAAUAAUAAGAUAGGACUUUGGUACUAUUUUGUUGGUUUGCAUACCAAGGUAAUGAUUAAGAGGGACAGUUGGGGGUAUUCGUAUUUAAUUGUCAGAGGUGAAAUUCUUGGAUUUAUGAAAGACGAACUACUGCGAAAGCAUUUACCAAGGAUGUUUUCAUUAAUCAAGAACGAAAG
rnacentral:rRNA from 1 species